CUCUCUCUCUCUCUCUCUCUGUGUGCCUGCAAUCAUCGGUGUUCCAUGUCGAAAAAUUAAAGUAAAAUGUAAUACCAUCUUAUCUUUGCAGGAAGCAUCUUUCGGAUUUGCAUGCUGGAUAAGACGAUUCAGAUGGUGCAAGGCCAAUCGAUCAACAGUAAUCGAUCUCUCGAGGUGAACGUGAGGCUAUUAGGCUGCUUGCAUAAUGUUUUCCCUGUCGAAUUGUGUUACAAAAGCACAGAGACGGAGCAGUAGAAGAAGAUAAAACUUGGAACGAGUCCAACCGGUGUGCAUGGAUGGUAUCUCUUACCAACUGUGAAGCACACACAACGCAGCUAAUUCGCACCGUUCAAACGUCUACGACUGCCCCUGGAAUCUAUCAAAGCUACCUUCCCCCCACCCCGCCCGCCACCACCACCACCACUAGCUCAGGGCCUCCCUUGGCUAUAAAAGGAGCAGAAGCUCCCUAGAACUCCUCGCAGAGCGCCCCCUGAAGAGAAAGCGUGUGGAAGAGAGAUGGGAGGAAGCCAGUCGUCUUCCAAGUCUUCUUCCUGUUUCUUCUUCAAGGCCAAGUACAAGGACGAGGAGGCCGACUGGGAGCCGAGGUACGUGUCCAGGAAGAUCCGACCCAGCGACGAGGACCGAGGGAAGUGGGUGGGGGAGCCCGACGUCGACAGGAAGGCCUCCGCCUUCAUCGCCAAGUUCCACGAGAGCCGCUUCAUGGAUCUUCAAAGCCAUGAGACCCACUUCGUGGACCUCGACAGGCAAACCGUCGCCGUGUGACUUGCGCCCUGGCGUCUCGCCUGGUCCACCUCGUCGAUCCUUGGCUCAGCUGAAAUAAUAGCUUAUUUCCAUUUGUUAUUAGGCGCUUUCUUUCGUCCCUUCGUAGAUGACCAGCUGGUCGUGUGCCUCCUAGUUUGUGAUCGGUGAUCGUGCCGGACAAAAUAAUGGUUAGCGGAUGAAUCGUGAGAGGAAGCUGCUGCUGAUGUAUCCUUGUGCUGUCCAAGUCUGUAUAAAGGAAGUAAUGCGAGUAAAGUUCAUCCUUAUUUAGAAUCCCUGUGGUGAAGUAGGAAGCAGCAAAACCUCACCGUGAGCUACUGACCAAAUCGGCCGCACUUGUUGCGGUGACAACAACUAGUCUUCUCCAUCUUUGCAGGAAGAGUUUAAAUGGAUGGGAAGUAAUGGUGGCCAUUUUUCAUGUUAUCGUGUUUCCAUUUUCUCAGCUAUCAUCAACUUUGUUGCUUCGUGUUUCA